CCUACGGGAGUCAGCAGUGGGGAAUAUUGCACAAUGGGGGAAACCCUGAUGCAGCGACGCCGCGUGAGUGAAGAAGUAAUUCGUUAUGUAAAGCUGUAUUAGCAGGGAAGAAAAUGACGGUACCUGAGUCAGAAUCCCCGGAUAACUACGUGCCAGCAGCCGCGGUAAUACGUAGGAGGCAAGCGUUAACCGGAUGUACUGGGUGUAAAGGGGGCGUAGGCGGCAGUGAAAGUCUGGAGUGAAAGGCGGGGGUUCAACUCCCGGACCGAUUCGGAAACUGUACGGCUGGAGUGCAGUAGCGGUAAGUGGAAUUGCUGGUGUAGCGGUGAAAUGCGUAGAGAUUA
rnacentral:rRNA from 1 species